GCGCAGGUCUUUCUCAAUGGGGCUUUCCCUGUGGACCCUCAUCAUUGGCAACAUCUCAUAGAGUAACGAUGCGGUGUGCUUUGCUCACAGAGCUAUUUGCUGAAUCUGUGAGAAAGAACUCUGAGAGAAAU
ensembl:snoRNA